ACCCGCUGAACUUAAGCAUAUCAAUAAGCGGAGGAAAAGAAACCAACAGGGAUUGCCCCAGUAACGGCGAGUGAAGCGGCAAGAGCUCAAAUUUGAAAGCUGGCUCCUUCGGGGUCCGCAUUGUAAUUUGCAGAGGAUGCUUCGGGAGCGGUCCCCAUCUAAGUGCCCUGGAACGGGACGUCAUAGAGGGUGAGAAUCCCGUAUGGGAUGGGGUGUCCGCGCCCGUGUGAAGCUCCUUCGACGAGUCGAGUUGUUUGGGAAUGCAGCUCUAAAUGGGUGGUAAAUUUCAUCUAAAGCUAAAUAUUGGCCGGAGACCGAUAGCGCACAAGUAGAGUGAUCGAAAGAUGAAAAGCACUUUGAAAAGAGAGUUAAAAAGCACGUGAAAUUGUUGAAAGGGAAGCGCUUGCGACCAGACUCGCUCGCGGGGUUCAGCCGGCAUUCGUGCCGGUGUAUUUCCCCGCGGGCGGGCCAGCGUCGGUUUGGGCGGUCGGUCAAAGGCCCUCGGAAGGUAACGCCCCUAGGGGCGUCUUAUAGCCGAGGGUGCAAUGCGACCUGCCUAGACCGAGGAACGCGCUUNGGCUCGGACGCUGGCAUAAUGGUCGUAANCNNCCCGUCUGAAACACGGACCAAGGAGUC
rnacentral:rRNA from 1 species